CAAAAAGAUGAAGGGGAUGUCAGAGAAAAAUGAUGACUCCUGAUCUCAUAUAAAAUGUGUAUUUUCCAGGCUUUGGACAUAGAGUCAGUGUACAAACAAUGAUAAGUAUAAUAUUUAUCCCACUCACUGAUUUUUUUUAAUGCUCUAACUUAAAGCUCUAAUUUUAAGCUCUCUUCUUGGGGCUUAAAGAUUAGGGAAGACAUAAGCCUU
rnacentral:lncRNA from 1 species